AAUUAGUUUUUUAAUUGAAAAAUAGAAUGAAUGAGAAUAUUAAAUUAGUAAUUUCUAUUACAAAAAAUAAAUUUUUAUUAUUGGUGAAAAUACCAAUACAAGCUUUUUAGACAAAAAGACCCUAUGAAGCUUUUUAGAUAAGUAGCUUAUAAAAAUAAAAAUCUAUUAUUUGGGGUAAAUGUUAAUAAAAUUAUUAUAAUUUUUAGAAUAAAAGAUAUCCUUUAGGAAUAAUGAAAUAGCUCCUCUAGGGAUAACAGCAUAAUAAUUAUUAAAGUCCAUAUUUAUAUAAUUGA
rnacentral:rRNA from 1 species